rnacentral:rRNA from 1 species
GACGAACGCUGGCGGCGUGCUUAACACAUGCAAGUCGAGCGGUAAGGCCCUUUCGGGGGUACACGAGCGGCGAACGGGUGAGUAACACGUGGGUGACCUGCCCUCAGCUCUGGGAUAAGCCUGGGAAACCGGGUCUAAUACUGGAUAUGACUCCAUGACGCAUGUUGUGGGGUGGAAAGCCUUGUGCGGCUGAGGAUGGGCCCGCGGCCUAUCAGCUUGUUGGUGGGGUGANGGGCCUACCAAGGCGACGACGGGUAGCCGGCCUGAGAGGGCGACCGGCCACACUGGGACUGAGACACGGCCCAGACUCCUACGGGAGGCAGCAGUGGGGAAUCUUGCGCAACGGGCGAAAGCCUGACGCAGCGACGCCGCGUGAGGGAUGACGGCCUGGU